AGCUUUGCGCAGUGGUGAUAUCGUAACCAAUUAGGUGCAUCUAAGGUGCGAUUAUUGCUAGUUGAAAAAAACUACAUUAUAAUGACAUAGUAUCAAAAUCCCAGUCCUAAUUAUAACCGAAAUCUUAAGUGGCUUACACACUAAG